rnacentral:tRNA from 1 species
GCCGUUGUAGCACAAUGGUAGUGCGUUGCUUUCCUAUGUUGGGGAUCAAACCCCUCCGUUGAGAGGCAGAGGCUGUGGGUUCGAGUCCCAUCAACGGUU